GAUGAACGCUGGCGGCGUGCCUAAUACAUGCAAGUCGAGCGAACAGACGAGGAGCUUGCUCCUCUCACGUUAGCGGCGGACGGGUGAGUAACACGUGGAUAACCUACCUAUAAGACUGGGAUAACUUCGGGAAACCGGAGCUAAUACCGGAUAAUAUAUUGAACCGCAUGGUUCAAUAGUGAAAGACGGUUUUGCUGUAACUUAUAGAUGGAUCCGCGCCGCAUUAGCUAGUUGGUAAGGUAACGGCUUACCAAGGCAACGAUGCGUAGCCGAACUGAGAGGGUGAUAGGCCACACGGGAACUGGGACACGGUCCAGACGCCUACGGGAGGCAGCAGUAGGGAACCGGCCGCAAUGGUCGAAAGCUUUACGGAGCAACGCCGCGUGAGUGAUGAAGGUGUUCGGUUCGUAAAACUCUGUUAUGAGGUAAGAACAACUUUGUAAGUAACUAUGCACGUCUUGACGGUACCGAAUCAGAAAGCCACGGCUAACUACGUG
rnacentral:rRNA from 1 species